CAGUCGCCGCGGGAAUACGUAGGUGGCAAGCGUUGUCCGGAAUUAUUGGGCGUAAAGGGCGCGUAGGCGGACUGAUAAGUCAGGGGUGAAAUCCCAAGGCUCAACCUUGGAACUGCCUUUGAUACUGUUUGUCUUGAGUUCGAGAGAGGUAAGUGGAACUGCGAGUGUAGAGGUGAAAUUCGUAGAUAUUCGCAAGAACACCAGUGGCGAAGGCGGCUUACUGGCUCGAAACUGACGCUGAGGCGCGAAAGCGUGGGGAGCAAACAGGAUUAGAUACCCCCGUAGUCCCUGUCUCUUAUAC
rnacentral:rRNA from 1 species